UAUUAAGAAAGUAGAGCUAUCAUAAGUCAGAAUUACUUUUUAAAUUAUUUUUAGCCAACCCUAUUAAUGAUGUUUCCAGUGAAAAUUCUCUAGGGUUUGUCAUGGAACUUUGUUACUUUGAAUUUUUUUGUUUUAGAUAUUUUGGUUAUAUUCAUGGGUAUAUUAAAGGUGAGGGCUGCUAAAGACAGGUGAAUGUGAGGAAAGGGUAAAUGGGUGUUCUUUGUGCUAAUCUUUCAACUUUCUUAAAAGUUUUAAAUCUUUCCCAAAUAACAACAUUAAAAAGAGUGGGGAGGUUGGGCACGUACUCAUAUCCCUUGGUGUUAGCACUUCUAAGGACAUUGGGAUGACUUCCAGCUGCCAGCACCUGCAUUCCUUUGUUGAGGACUUUCUCCUGGCUGGCAGGACUCACUUUCUCCCAACAAACCAGACUUGAAGUGCUGAUAAUUAGCAUUCACUGUGAUUAGCCCACAAACACUGAGUGACAAGAGUUGAUGUCUAAACACUUCAACUCUCUCACUUCUCAGGUGGGAUAGCUCUGAAGAGAAUAUUUCACACUACACUCCUGGGUUUCCCAGUGUGAUUCAGUUUCAGUUACCUACACUGGUAACUUGCUUGGUAACAUACAAUUUAUUAGCUGCUUUCUCUUCCAUGUGUCACUUCAACAAACUUUUUCAGUGUUUUGUGAGAUAAUAAUGAACUUCUUGCACUGAAAUCUAACCGAACCUAAUUCAAACAUACCUUAUGGUGUCCAUGAGACGGGUUCUGCAUCUACUAUUUGAGUUCUAUGUUUACCAAGUAUGAUGGUUAACAUUGCAUGUCAGCUUGGCUGGGUCAUGAUUCUCAGUGGUUUGGCAGUGUGUUAGUCAUCUAGUGCUGCCAAAACAGAAAUACCACAAGUAGAUGGCUUUAAAAAAGAGAAAUUAAUUUUCUCACGGUGUAGUACGUUAUAAGUCCAAAUGCAGGGUGUCGGCUCCAGAGGAAGGCUUUCUCUCUCUGUCAGCUCUGGUGGAAGGCUUCCCCUGGUCGAGGAACUUCUCAGGCACGGAAACCCUGUGUCUAGAGGAUGCGCUCUGCUCCUGGUGCUGCUUUCUUGGUGCAGCCUGUGAGCAAGAAUCCUGCUCUCUCACCUGCCAGUCUUGGGUUUUGCCAGCCCCUUCAGCUAUACGAAUCAGGAGAAGCCUCUAUCCUGACCCAUGGACUUGAGGCAUUCCAGCCUCUAUAACUGCCUGAUGAUCUGCUUCUGAAGAGUCACAGUCUUGAAAGCCCUAUGGAGCAGUUCUACAACAACAACAUGAUUUUGUGUGGGGAUCUGCCUUAAACCUAUUCUUUGUUUCUAAAUAUCAGUCAUAUAUAUGUCUUUUUUUUUUUUAAUAUGUCUACCACUUUUCACAAUUGUUCACACAUCUUAAUAUCAUCUUUGCUUUCAUUUAUUGUGUUUAUAUCAACUCACUAUUCUUUUAGUUUAAAAGAUAACAAUAAAAUCAUAGUAAAUGAAAACCAACCUAAUUUAUCACGUGUGAAAGUAUGUUGUUAGUCACCAUCAAGUUGAUUCCAACUUAUGG